GAUGAACGCUGGCGGCGUGCUUAACACAUGCAAGUCGAACGAGAGAUGUAGACGGAAACCUUCGGGCGGAAGCCUUCAUUUCGAGUGGCGGACGGGUGAGUAACGCGUGGGUAACCUGCCUCAUACAGGGGGAUAACAGUUGGAAACGACUGUUAAUACCGCAUAAGACUACAGCAUCGCAUGAUGCGGGGGUAAAAACUCCGGUGGUAUGAGAUGGACCCGCGUUCGAUUAGCCAGUUGGCGGGGUAACGGCCCACCAAAGCGACGAUCGAUAGCCGAUCUGAGAGGAUGACCGGCCACAUUGGGACUGAGACACGGCCCAAACUCCUACGGGAGGCAGCAGUGGGGAAUAUUGCACAAUGGGGGAAACCCUGAUGCAGCGACGCCGCGUGAGUGAAGAAGUACUUCGGUAUGUAAAGCUCUAUCAGCAGGGAAGAAAAUGACGGUACCUGAGGAAGAAGCCCCGGCUAACUACGUG
rnacentral:rRNA from 1 species